AGACCGCUAGCUAAGAGUUGUGUGCUUAGCUGGUAGUGCAGCCUGGGCACUGUUGUCCUUCUGACUUCAGCUAGAUUGAGGAGGUACGAUCCGAGUGUCUGUUCACCAAGGAGGUGCGGCUCAAACAGCGUCUGUUCUGGCAUCCAGCGGCUGAGUAAGAAACGCUGCACCACGCCCAGCUAGAUCCAAGGUGGUAGCCCCAUCAGCGUGGUCGUCCCAGUGUUGGUUGGGACGUUAAACAGAACUGGCACGAUGGCCCUCCGGCGAGACAGGAGUGUUGGCGUAGGCCCAAUAAGCCACCCGUAAAAAUCCCCAUUGCGAAUAACAUAGGAGAAAAUACGACUCGAUACAAUCGGCAAAGACCCACGCGACGAAAUAAGGACUACGAUUGGAAACUUGGAACAUGGAAUUGCAAGUCACUAGGUUUCGCAGGAUGUGACAGGAUAAUCUACGACGAACUACAUCCCCGCAACUUCGACAUCGUGGCGUUGCAGGAACUUUGUUGGACUGGACAGAAAGUGUGGAAAAGCGGGCAUCGAGCGGCUACCUUCUACCAAAGCUGUGGCACCACCAAUGAACUGGGAGCAGGAUUCAUAGUGUUGGGCAAGAUGCGACAACGUGUGAUCGGGUGGCAGCCGAUCAACGCAAGGAUGUGCAUGUUGAGAGUUAAGGGCCGUUUCUUCAACUACAGCAUCAUCAACGUCCACUGCCCACACGAAGGGAGACCCGAUGACGAGAAAGAAGCGUUCUACGCGCAGUUAGAGCAAACAUACGAUGGUUGCUCGCCGCGUGACGUGAAAAUCGUUGUCGGCGACAUGAACGCGCAGGUAGGAAGGGAGGAAAUGUACAGACCGGUAAUCGGGCGAAACAGCCUGCACGCCGUAUCGAAUGAUAACGGCCAGCGAUGCGUAAACUUUGCAGCCUCCCGUGGUAUGGUAGUCCGAAGCACCUUCUUCCCCCGCUAA